CCUAACUGAGCAGUAUUAAAGAUUUCGUUAUUUUGGAGAGCUAAAGAUGUGGUUUUAAGCAAAUCCCUUAAACCUCCCUAGAAAUUGUCCACUGAAAGAAUGAAUUCUGACAUAUCAAUACUUUUGCUUAAAAGGAUUAUGUAUACACUUGUGCAUAAUUCAAUACAACAUUCAAAUCUGAACAAAAGAAAGGCUUAAUCAGUCAGAGUACAUGGAGACAACUUGAAGUGAAUGGAGUGUAAGUGCUGGGUUAAAACA